CCGCACUGUCUAGCGUCCCCCACAGCCGGCACCUUGGCUCUGGGGUCUCAUUUCGGUGCCAAAACAAAUCCCUUCUUGCAGAAAGGUCGGGCCGAGCCGUGACCUGAUCUUUCCGAGAGUUGGGGACAAAU